rnacentral:tRNA from 1 species
CGGGGAGUAGCUCAGCUUGGUAGAGCUCUUGGUUUGGGACCAAGGGGUCGCAGGUUCGAAUCCUGUCUUCCCGACCA